CCUCCCUCACACACCCACAGUGACCUCCCUCACACACCCACAGUGACCCCCCUCACACACCCACAGUGAACUCCCUCACACACCCACAGUGACCUCCCUCACACACCCACAGUGACCUCCCUCACACACCCACAGUGACCUCCCUCACACACCCACAGUGACACCCUUCACACACUCUGAGUGACCCCCUCACACACCCAGUGACCUCCUCACACACCCAGAGUUUAGAGUUUACUGCAGCUGUGGGCUACUUAGGCCUUUGCUUUGUCAGGGAACCACAUUGUUUGCAGUGUUAAUAUGGUACACUUUGGUGUAGCUGUUUUUACAGUGGUAGGAUAUAUAUUCUUCUCUUGUGUCCCUUUAUCUUCUGUCACAAAAUGUUGAUAGGUAAUAAUAGUAGUGACACAGUAUAGUAUAAUACUGACAGUAGCAUGUUAACCUAUAAGGCAACAUGGCAGAAUCUUGGUCUAUAGUUCUGUAUUCCGCUUGCAUGGCCUUCGCACAAUGAGCCCAGGAGCCCCCUAUGAAGAGACCACCAUGAAGUCCAAUAGCUUUAUUCUAAUCACGCUUUGUGUUUCGAAGACUGGUGGGAGGGGAUUUGAAAGGAUUUUCGUUGAUGUUAUGUGAAACAGAAUCAGGGAAGUAAGCACAAAUUGCUGGUGUGUGUGUAUGUUUGUCAGCAAGAAAGAGAGAAUGAGGAAGAGAAAGUGAGCACAGUGAUAACGGCAAAAGUGAGCACAGUGAUAACGGCAAAAGUGAGCACAGUGAUAACGGCAGUAGUAAGCACAGUGAUAACAGCAAAAGUGAGCACAGUGAUAACGGCAGUAGUGAGCACAGUGAUAACGGCAGUAGUGAGCACAGUUAUAACGACAACAGUAAGCACAGUGAUAACGGCAGUAGUAAGCACAGUUAUAACGGCAGCAGUAAGCACAGUGAUAACGGCAGCAGUAAGCACAGUGAUAACGGCAGCAGUAAGCACAGUGAUAAUGGCAGCAGUAAGCACAGUGAUAACGGCAGCAGUGAGCACAGUGAUAACGGCAACAGUAAGCACAGUGAUAACGGCAACAGUGAGCACAGUGAUAACGGCAACAGUGAGCACAGUGAUAACGGCAACAGUGAGCACAGUGAUAACGGCAACAGUGAGCACAGUGAUAACGGCAGCUUUCAGCACAGUGAUAAUGGCAGCAGUAAGCACAGUGAUAACAGCAGCAGUAAGCACAGUGAUAACGGCAACAGUAAGCACAGUGAUAACGGCAGUAGAAAGCACAGUGAUAACGGCAGCAGCAAACCCAGUGAUAACGGCAGCAGUAAGAACAGUGAUAACGGCAGCAGUGAGCACAGUGAUAAUGGCAGCAGUAAGCACAGUGAUAAUGGCAGCAGUAAGCACAGUGAUAACGGCAGCAGUAAGCACAGUGAUAACGGCAGCAGUAAGCACCGUGAUAACGGCAGCAGUAAACCCAGUGAUAACGGCAGCAGUGAGCACAGUGAUAAUGGCAGCAGUAAGCACAGUGAUAACGGCAGCAGUAAGCACCGUGAUAACGGCAGCAGUAAGCACAGUGAUAACAGCAGCAGUAAGCACAGUGAUAACGGCAGCAUUAAGCACAGUGAUAACAGCAGCAGUAAGCACAGUGAUAACGGCAGCAGUAAGCACAGUGAUAACGGCAGUAGUAAGCACAGUGAUAACGGCAGCAGUAAACCCAGUGAUAAUGGCAGCAGUAAGCGCAGACAGUAACAUAGCCCUAGCAUAUAUAUAGCCCUCUAUAUAGCAGGUAAAUAUAGGAGGCUGACAAGCAUUGAAACAUAUUGUUUUAUUUAGGGAAUUUUACAAUUUGCGUGAAUGUUACAAUUUGCGUGUGUGUGGCAUGAUCGUUGGUGCCAGCCAUGCUAGUAGAAAGACAUUGCCUGGUCCAAGGAGUCCCGGUGCAGUUUACUUACAGUCCAGAGACCUAUACCCAAAUGUAUUGGCGAUGAGAUGGAAAAGUGCUGCUUGCAGCAUGAAUGUACUGCCAAUGUUCAGUCUGCAGCAACUGUGAUUCAACUGCAUCAGCAAUGACCUACAUCGUUGUGGUCAACGCCUUGUCAAAUCAUUCACCCAAAGAAAGGCUGUUCUGGAGACAAAAGGGGGUUCAACCCAGUACUAGAUACAUAGGUGUAUAUAAUUAACAGGCGUGUAUUUGUGUAUUUGCUGCAAGUCUGUUAAGUUAUGCUGUCCUCCAUAUCUGAUAGCCUUAGCAGUUGUGUGUUGUUAGUCCGGUGUGGUUAUGCUUUUAGUAGAUUUUAUCUAGAUCAUUUCCUUGUAAUGUAGUGUGCCACUGAAGCACUUGCAGCAUCCACUGCUCUCAACAAACCUCUUACACUUCCACGCCCUAAACAGCCUUCAGCUAAUUGUUGUUUGGUGUUGGUUAUGAAGCUAACAGUCUAGAGGGCUCUAUACACAAGACUGCGGUAAAGACACUACCUAUUUGCUAGCAUUCAUGCUAGACUUUCUACAUUAAUAUACCACUGUCUCAUCUAGUGUAAUGUCAGUCUCCUACUGAAUAUUUAGUGUGGUUUAAGCCAAUACCUUGUUCAUUAUGUAAAGGUUCUAACGUGUAUAACCUCAGGCCACCAUAUAUUAGCUGUUGUCUUAGAAACACUACCUCCACCAAAGAGUUAGAACUUCAUAUCAAUGAGGGCAGACUGUUGUAGUCUCCCUGUCAACUACAUUCUUUAUAGUACACACCAGAGACAGUAAUGAACAGCUCUCCAUCACUUCCAAGGCAAGAAUCCAAGAAGAAACACAGCAUUAUGUGCUGCUAUUAAUGUAAAACCUACAAAAUUAUCCAUUGCACAGAUGAAUGUUAUAAAGGGAGUCCAUACUGGGAAAUGUUUUUCUAAUAUAAUGAUUCCUUGUUUUUGCUACCAAGCACAGGCAAAUCACACUUUUAAAAUGUAUUGACAUAAGCCUAUUACUGAAUAAUCAGCACAAAAAGAUUGUAGUAUGUAUAGGCAAAGACUUGGAGUGGCACCAAUAGGAAAUAUUUUAGAAAUAGGGUAGUAUGAGCACAAAUAGGUAUAUUACAGUAGGUAUAUUACUGCAAAUGUGAUUAUUAUGGAGCUUAAAGCAGAAUGUACAACUAAACCUGCAUCAUCAACUGAACCUUUAAGCACACAGAAAAUACACCACUCCACUUUUCUUAUCUUAUCAGAAAUCACACAAUCAAUCUGAUUUGACCAGAUCAGAAUAGAGUAUGAUUUUAUAUCUAUAUUUUACUGAAGAAUGUAAACCUUUUAAUAGUUUAUUGUCAAAUCUUUAUUGAUACUUAAGAGCAAAACAGCAGUACUUCCUAAAUAGGGACAUAAUGUUUUGAUUUAAAGCAAGUUCUCUUUUACAGGGGUUCACAAUUGUUUUCCACCAGGUCCCCCUAUAUUACAUUUAAUUCCUUUAAAAAAAUUGUUGGGCAGAGAGAGGUCAACAGAAUAGUGGGCUGGCUUGCAAGAAAUUAUCAACUGACAGUGACAAACUUUGGCAUCCAAGUGAGAUCAUAUUUAAUGCUUUUGCAUUAAAGGGGCAAUUUAUGCAUUGUAAUAUCCCAAAAUGGAUAUAUAUCUGUGGAAUGAUAAUGUUUCACAGCAUUUAUUCACGAGAAGUUAUAGCGCAUACAAACAUGCAUCCUAAAAUGCAGAAAUUCUAUUGGUCAAAUCUGAAAGCUGCACUCAUUUCCUCAGCUGACAUUACUAUGACACACAAUCAUCUCUUCUCAAGUAAACAAUACCAGAAGUCAAGUCAGAUGGAGAACUUGUACAAGCACUAAGUGCCCAUUUACUAUCUGCCAGUCCGUUUACCACAAGUAUUUACUAACAAUCAUCACACAUUCAGCAAAGAGCAUGAUGUUACAGUGACUGAUGAUGAACCGGUCAGGAAAGGAAAUGUCCACUGGACAUAACCACUUUCAUUAACUAUAUGAUUUACAGUUAGCUAGGAAGCCACAUUGUUUUUAUUAUAGAUCAUUUUACUUUUUCUAGAGCAUUAAUUUAUAGACUUUUUUUUUACCAAUAUGCAAAGCCAUGGUGUUGAUGAAACAGACUUUUUAUAUUAUUGUGUAUUAUAUUUGUAUAGUAAAUAUUAUUUUAUCUGUUAAGGUGCACAGGUGUAUGUUGUAAUCAAUGUGUGAUGUAUAUUUCAUUGUAUAUUUGUCAAUUGUUCUGUUUGUAUUUUUUUUUUGUAGUCCCUUAUCUACAGUAUCAUUAUGCAAGUGUUAAGAGGAACAACAGUCACAUGAUACCCCUAUUCAAAGGGCCAUGGUCCUCCAAAACAUUGCUGUUUGUAAAAAGUGAUUUCACCAGGCAUGUCACCACCUAUUUCAGUGAGAAUGAGGUUCAGGUUUGCGGCAGGUCAUUUGAGGAGGAGGAUGGACUAUUUUGUAUGUUUUAUCAGGUUGGAAUCGGUUUUCACUCUAAUAUUCUCUUUUAAACCAGUUAUUUUUUGGUCUGUGAGACAUUUCAGAUGGAUUAUCAUGUGAUUACUGUUCCAUUGAGGUACAGUACAUUCACUUAGAGGCUUGCCCCCCAGACAUACAUGAAGAUAAAUAUCUUCAUAGGGUAAUGCAUUAUCAACCUGAUUUUAAUAUGUAGUUAUACUAGGUUUUUAAUCAUUGGCCUGGAGCCAGUCCCUCUUUUGAUUGUAUCAUCUCAAAACCCAUCACUUUAUUAAAUUUGUGAAUAUUUUGUCAGACAGAUGCUACAACCAAUAAUAAAGCAUCAUAAAUAAAAUAAAUCAGACCGGGCAACAUACUUGUGAGGUAUAUGUUUUAACUCAAAUGUUGGAACAGAAAUGUGCAGAAAAAACUAUUGAAUGUGAAUAUGAAAGCACCUUUCCUCUUCACUCAAAAAUAGUAUUAUUUUUGUUUUGUUGCCUGCAUAUUGGUUGAUCUUAUUGUUUGCCCUAGCUUGGGUGAAGUAAUCGGUCAAAGCAGUAUCUUAUACCAGUAGAGCUGCAGUAGUGGAAUAAGAUUUUAAAACCUAUAUAUGGAAAAUGAGUAGGGGUUAGGAACUGCCUCUUUGGAGCCAAAAUGUCACAUUGACUCUUGGCAUAAUGUAAUAUAUGUAUAUUUGUGUCUAUGAAUGUAAAGUAGUGAGUUUGUAGGUUUUGUCUGAACAUAAGUAAAUGCAAGGUCUUCCAAAAUAAAAGGCUUCACAAAUUGUUUUGUCAUUGAACUGAAGGCACAUCCAUAACUUUCACUCUUUUCUGACAUGAUGUAUGUACCGUUGUGCUCAGAAGUUUUCAUACCCUUGGAGAAUUGGUCAUAUAUGUACCAUUUGUAAAGAAAACAUGAGUGAGCAGGGAAAACAUGUCUAUUAUUUCUUAUGGGAUUCACAUUGUCACAAUCAUAAAACAAAACAUGGCAAAUUCUUUUUUAUAAAUGAACUGACCCCUGUUCAAAAUUCUGCAUCCCCUUAGUUCUUAAUACUGUGUAUUGCCCCCUUUAGCAUCAAUGACAGCCCCUAUGAGGCCCCAAAUUCUUGCAGGUGGUAUAGCUGCCCAUUCGUCUUGGCAAAAUACCUCCAGUUCAUGCAAAGUCUUUUGUUGUCUUGUGUGAACCACACGUUUGAGAUCUCCCCAGAGUGACUCGAUGAUAUUAAGGUCAGGACUGUGAUGGCCACUCAAGAUCCUUCACCUUUUUCUGUUGUAAUCACUGGAGGGUCAACUUGGCCUUGUGCUUAGGGUUAUUGUGCUGUAAAGUCCAAGAGCGUCCCAUGCGCAGCUUUCAUGCAGAAGAAUGCAAAUUGUCUGCCAGUAUUUUUUGAUAACAUGCUGCAUUCAUAAAUAACAUGCUGCAGCCAUAAAUUUUCACAAGAUUCCCCGUGCCUUUAAAGCUCUCACACCCCCAAAACUACAGUGUGCCAGAAGCUGUGAGGCGUGACAUGGUGUUGUCAGGCAUACUGUAACCAGGCUUUUUAGUGGCAUUGGCGCAGUAAAGGCUUCUGAAAGGCAACUCGAACAUGCAGCUCAUUUUUGUUCAAGUAUUGUCGUAUUGUGCUCCUUGAAACAAUCACACCAUCUUUUUCCAGAGCAGCCUGUAUUUCUCCUGAUGUUACCUGUGUUUUUUGUAUCCCGAACAAUUCUGGCAGUUUUGGCUGAAAUCUUUCUUGGUCUACCUGAUCUUGGCUUGGUAUCAAGAGAUCCCCAAAUUGUCCACUUCUUAAUAAGUGAUUGAACAGUACUGAAUGGCAUUUGACAGUUAUUUUCUGCUCCCCAUGGCUCAGUAUCUAGCCUGCUCAGUGUAUCCACGUGAGGGCUAAACAACUCAUUCACUAUGUAUAUAGACACUAAUUGCAAUUUAAAAGCCACAGGUGUGGGAAAUUCAACGUUGUCAUUUUCACCUGUGUGUGUCACCUUGUGUAUAUGUAACAAGGCCAAACAUUCAAGGGUAUGUAACCUUUUGAUCGGGGCCAUUUUGGGGAUUUCUGUUAUCAUUAUGAUCUAAAAAGGGGCCAAACAACUAUGUGAUAAUAAAUGGCAUCAUAUGAUCACAUUACUUAAAUAAAUGCAUAUAUUUUUGUGUGAUCAGUCAUAUUUUCUAAAUCAAUGGCAACAUUUCACAAUUUCUGCCAGGGUAUGCAAACUUAUGAGCACAACUGUACAGAAUUUAAGCUGUAUGUGAGUAAUAAUAAUUUGUGCAUACCAG
ensembl:lncRNA